rnacentral:rRNA from 1 species
CAAUGAGUACGGUAGUACAGACAUGGCCCAUGGAGGGUGAAAGGCCCGUUCGGGUGGAGAUUCGGCAGGCCAGUGCUUCUCUGGGUAGACCUUGGAGUCGGGUUGUUUGUGAAUGCAGCCCAAAGUGGGUGGUAAACUCCAUCCAAGGCUAAAUACAAGCACGAGUCCGAUAGCGAACAAGUACCGUGAGGGAAAGUUGAAAAGUACUUUGAAGAGAGAGUUAACAGUGCGUGAAACCGCUCAGAGGUAAGCAGGUGGAGUUGAACUGCAAGCUUUGAGAAUUCAGCUGGUGAGGUUGGUUUGGGCUUGGUCAAAUUGGUUGGGCCCCGAAGUACGUUAAACCACGUGUCCUUUCCCUUUGGGUUGGGAUGUGCGAUACACUUACCAAGUGUUGCACGCUUUGGGUGUUCAUCGAGCCUCCUUGUCAGUGCACUUUCUCAGAGUGGUCACCACGACCGACGCCGCUGUCAGGCUGUCAUAGUUAAACCGGUCUUGUAGUGUCCUUGUGGCAUUGCCUGGUCGGGAUGGCAGGUAGCUUGUUGGCUCGCUUCGGCUUGCUUUCGAGUGUAAUCAGCUGACUGUGACGGUUCUGUGCAGUGCGUCGGAGACGGCGGCCAGUGGUGUGUGCAUGCGUGCCCGAUUUGUUGGCGUACCCUGG